GAACUUCCAGUCUUAGCCAGGGGUCCCAUGGAGAGGGAAGUAGAGGAAGGCCAUGAGGAAAAGAGAAAAGAUGUUAGCGAUGUUAGCGAUACCACGUGAAGAGACCAGAGGAGGCUAUGAGGCAGUGGGGGAAUUCUGAUGAGCAGGCUGCCAGGGGAUUCACCAUAAGGACACACUUGGAGCAAAGCAAGCCAAGUGUUGAAGCCUGGGCUCUCCCUCAAACUUGCUGUGUAGCCAGUGUACUAGUCUGCUGCCGCUUUGCUGUGAUAAGACAAGACCAAGAGUAACGUGGAGAAGAAAGGUGUGUUUUUGUUUUUUUUUUUCAUCCUUUGCUUUCAAAUGACAGCCCAAAAUCCAAGGAAGCCAAUGCAGGAACCUGAGAGCAAGAACAGAAGCUGAGUGCAGGGUUGAAUACUGUUCCCUGGUUUACUCUCAAGCUCACGGUGAGAUCCCUUUCUUCUACAGUCCAGGUCUACCUGCCCAAGGAUGGAACUGCCCAUGAUGCGCUGGCCUCUCCUGUGUCAAUUAGUGGUCAAGAAAAUGCACAAGUCCACAGAACUAUCCAAUGGAAGCAGUUUUUCAGUUGAGGUUCCUUCUUCCAGAAGUGUCAUGUUACAAACAAAACUAGCCAGAACAGCC
ensembl:lincRNA Gm42563 predicted gene 42563